UACCCGCAGCACAAGUGGUGGUCAUUAUUAUUGGGCCUAAAGCGUUCGUAGCUGGCCUGUUAGAUGCCUGGGUAAAUCGAUGCGCUCAACGUAUCGAACUCCGGGUAGACCGGCAGGCUUGGGACCGGGAGAGAUGUGAGCUACUCGAGGGGUAGGGGUAAAAUCCUGUAAUCCUUCGGGGAGGACCAGUGGCGAAGGCGCACAUUAGAACGGCUCCGACAGUGAGGGACGAAGCCCUGGGGCGGCAAACCGG
rnacentral:rRNA from 1 species